rnacentral:rRNA from 1 species
AGUGAACGCUGGCGGUAGGCCUAACACAUGCAAGUCGAACGGCAGCACAGUAAGAGCUUGCUCUUACGGGUGGCGAGUGGCGGACGGGUGAGGAAUACAUCGGAAUCUACUUUUUCGUGGGGGAUAACGUAGGGAAACUUACGCUAAUACCGCAUACGACCUACGGGUGAAAGCAGGGGAUCUUCGGACCUUGCGCGAUUGAAUGAGCCGAUGUCGGAUUAGCUAGUUGGCGGGGUAAAGGCCCACCAAGGCGACGAUCCGUAGCUGGUCUGAGAGGAUGAUCAGCCACACGGGAACGUAGACACGGUCCAGACGCCUACGGGAGGCAGCAGUGGGGAAUAUUGGACAAUGGGCGCAAGCCUGAUCCAGCCAUACCGCGUGGGUGAAGAAGGCCUUCGGGUUGUAAAGCCCUUUUGUUGGGAAAGAAAAGCAGCAGGUUAAUACCCCGCUGUUCUGACGGUACCCAAAGAAGAAGCACCGGCUAACUUCGUG